rnacentral:misc_RNA from 1 species
GAGAACUCCCAGACCACGUCCUCACACCGUCACCAUCGAUCCCUCCCAAGUUCCCAACCAUCCGCCGCCGCCACUGAUCGGCUGCCCAUCACAUCCGCCGCCGCCACUGAUCGGCUGCCCAUCACAUCCGCCGCCUCCACCGAUCAGCGGUUGCAACUCGACAGGGCUGCCACAUCCUGCUCCCUAGGGCCACCACAUAUGUCACACCCAGACGGACACACCACGCCCACUCGCAGAUCCGGCGGCGGCCCGCCGCCACCCACCCUACUGCAUCCUUCGCCGUCCCCCAUCCGCAAUCACAGCCUGCUAGCCGCCAGGACAGGGCCGCCACAUCUCGCCAGAGCAGAGCCGCCACACAUGGACUGUGUUGCUAGGACCGCCACAUCUCGCUGGUGCAUGGCCAUCGCAUCCGUGGCUCACAUGCCAGUAUGAAGGCUAACUCUCUGGUUUCUGCGAUGAGUCAAACUAACCAUUACUAGCUUGAAACUUGGUUUGUUCAGAGUGAGAAGUAUGAUGAGCAUGCUAUGUCAAGUGGUAAGCUAUCAGCAUCAUUGGAAAUUCAAUGAAAACGUCCUCAUCAUGCUACUAAUUGAGGGGGUUAUAUGACAAUGAAAUCUAGAGUAUCUCACUCAUUUUUACUAAUUGAGGUUUGCUAUUGCGUAAGGUUUUCUGGUUCCCUGUCUUAUUACAUUAACAAUUUGUCAAUUUUAGCUUAGAUCUAAUGCCAUAUUUUUUGUCUCUAAAAACACUCUAUAAGCUACUUUACCAUUUAAUUUUAACUUAGAUUAACACUAUGUAAGCUGCUUGACCAUUUAUUUUUGUGCAUUUAUU